UACGAAGGGGGCUAGCGUUGCUCGGAAUCACUGGGCGUAAAGCGCACGUAGGCGGAUUGUUAAGUCGGGGGUGAAAUCCUGGAGCUCAACUCCAGAACUGCCUUCGAUACUGGCGAUCUUGAGUCCGGGAGAGGUGAGUGGAACUCCGAGUGUAGAGGUGAAAUUCGUAGAUAUUCGGAGGAACACCAGUGGCGAAGGCGGCUCACUGGCCCGGUACUGACGCUGAGGUGCGAAAGCGUGGGGAGCAAACAGG
rnacentral:rRNA from 1 species